GCCGGAGUGGUGGAAUGGCAGACACGCUAGCUUGAGGUGCUAGUGGGGCGACCCAUGGGGGUUCGAAUCCCCCCUUCGGCACCA
rnacentral:tRNA from 1 species